GGAGAGAUGGCUGAGUGGUCGAAAGCGACACAUUGCUAAUGUGUUGAGUUGCGUAAGCGGCUCCGAGGGUUCGAAUCCCUCUCUCUCCG
rfam:Leptolyngbya sp. PCC 7376, complete genome.